AGAAAGAGAAGUGACUCGCUUGGAUCUAUAUAAUACACCUUUCUUCUUUAUUCUAUCUACCCAUAUCUCUAUCUAUCAAAUAUGAGGAUUCGCAAGAACGCAAACCUUUCCUCCCUCGUGUUCUCGCACGCUUCGGGGCCUGAGGUGCUGCAGACACACGUGUGCCAGCUGAACCAGUCGCCAUGGGAUGUGAUUCCUUUCGCUCAAGAGGCUUACCCAUCUUCUCUUCACCAGUUCGAAGGAGAAGAUAGCUUUAACGGAAAUGGG
rnacentral:misc_RNA from 1 species